GCAAGUCGAGCGGAACGAUGCCUAGCUUGCUAGGAGGCGUCGAGCGGCGGACGGGUGAGUAAUGCAUAGGAAUCUGCCCGGUAGUGGGGGAUAACCUGGGGAAACCCAGGCUAAUACCGCAUACGCCCUACGGGGGAAAGCAGGGGAUCUUCGGACCUUGCGCUAUCGGAUGAGCCUAUGUCGGAUUAGCUAGUUGGUGAGGUAACGGCUCACCAAGGCUGCGAUCCGUAGCUGGUCUGAGAGGAUGAUCAGCCACAUCGGGACUGAGACACGGCCCGAACUCCUACGGGAGGCAGCAGUGGGGAAUAUUGGACAAUGGGCGAAAGCCUGAUCCAGCCAUGCCGCGUGUGUGAAGAAGGCCUUCGGGUUGUAAAGCACUUUCAGUGAGGAAGAAAGCCUUGAGGUUAAUACCCUCGAGGGAGGACAUCACUCACAGAAGAAGCACCGGCUAACUCCGUGCCAGCAGCCGCGGUAAUACGGAGGGUGCGAGCGUUAAUCGGAAUUACUGGGCGUAAAGCGCGCGUAGGCGGCUUGAUAAGCCGGUUGUGAAAGCCCCGGGCUCAACCUGGGAACGGCAUCCGGAACUGUCAGGCUAGAGUGCAGGAGAGGAAGGUAGAAUUCCCGGUGUAGCGGUGAAAUGCGUACAGAUCGGGAGGGGAUACCAGUGGCGAACGCGGCCUUCUGGACUGACACUGACGCUGAGGUGCGAAAGCGUGGGUAGCAAACAGGAUUAGAUACCCUGGUAGUCCACGCCGUAUACGAUGUCGACUAGCCGUUGGGCUCCUUGAGAGCUUUGUGGCGC
rnacentral:rRNA from 1 species